rnacentral:rRNA from 1 species
UACGAAGGGGGCUAGCGUUGUUCGGAAUUACUGGGCGUAAAGCGCACGUAGGCGGAUAUUUAAGUCAGGGGUGAAAUCCCAGAGCCCAACUCUGGAACUGCCUUUGAUACUGGGUAUCUUGAGUAUGGAAGAGGUAAGUGGAAUUGCGAGUGUAGAGGUGAAAUUCGUAGAUAUUCGCAGGAACACCAGUGGCGAAGGCGGCUUACUGGUCCAUAACUGACGCUGAGGCGACGAAAGCGUGGGGAGCAAACAGG